rnacentral:tRNA from 1 species
UAUACCAGGGGUGCAAAUCCCCUUCCAAAUAAAUU